UUAUUAUGUAGCGUGCUUUGUGUAGAUGCUGAAAAUAUUUUUCUUUUGUUGGUGAUGCAGCUCAAAGAAUAUAUUGACGACACUGAAGAUUUUAUCAAUAUAAAAUUGGGCAAUAUUCAGAACCGCCUAAUACAAUUUGAGUUGCUUCUAACAGCAACUACAUUGCUAGCCACAGUAUUUGCUGCUGUCACAGCAGUUUUUGGAAUGAAUUUUGAAACCACUGUAUUUGACCAUCCCUCUGGAUUUCACUGGGUUUUGGUAGUUACUGGAAUUGGCUGUGCAUUAGUAUACUUCUCCUUCCUAUUCUAUUUUAGGAACAAGAAAGUGCUUCCAGCAUAAAUUGUAACCUGCUGUAAAUAGUAAACACUAUACUGGAUUGUAUAUCUAGUAAAACCGAGUCGGUCGCAGAACUCCAUGAUGAACGAUAGGACAGGACAGGUUACACCAGACUCAUCUAUCUGGUGUUGAUGGAAGAAAAUCUACCCACAGCUUUAACAAGUUGGAACAUGGCAUGUAUGAAUUGAAACUUUCAGCCAUCUCACCCCAUUCAAGUUGCUAGAGUUGUACUUUGGCAACUAUCCUUUGUGCAGGCCAAGAUGGCUCUGUAAUCCCUUGAUAUGCUGAAGGAGUCAUAGACUUUCCCAUCCCUGCUCUUUCUGUACUCAAACAAGAGAUUUCAACUGUCAAAUGCAGUGAGUUUUACUAACCCAUAA